rnacentral:rRNA from 1 species
CAGCAGCCGCGGUAAUACCAGCUCCAAUAGCGUAUAUUAAAGUUGUUGUGGUUAAAAAGCUCGUAGUUGGAUCUCAGAUCCGGAGCUGCGGUCCACCGCCCGGUGGUUACUGUAGCGACCGGACGUUUGGCCGGAUUCCUUUGAUGCUCUUUGCCGAGUGUCUUGGGUGUCCGGCACGUUUACUUUGAAAAAAUUAGAGUGCUCAAAGCAGGCGUACCGCCUGAAUAAUGGUGCAUGGAAUAAUGGAAUAAGACCUCGUCUCUAUUUUGUUGGUUUUCGGAAAACGAGGAAAUGAUUAAGAGGGACAGACGGGGGCAUUCGUAUUGCGACGCUAGAGGUGAAAUUCUUGGACCGUCGCAAGACGAACUACUGCGAAAGCAUUUGCCAAGAAUGUUUUCAUUAAUCAAGAACGAAAGUUAGAGGUUCGAAGGCGAUCAGAUACCGCCCUAGUUCUAACCAUAAACGAUGCCAACCAGCAAUCCGCCUGAGUUCCUCAAAUGACUCGGCGGGCAGCUUCCGGGAAACCAAAGUGUUUGGGUUCCAGGGGAAGUAUGGUUGCAAAGCUGAAACUUAAAGGAAUUGACGGAAGGGCACCACCAGGAGUGGAGCCUGCGGCUUAAUUUGACUCAACACGGGAAAACUUACCCGGCCCGGACACUGGAAGGAUUGACAGAUUAAGAGCUCUUUCUUGAUUCAGUGGAUGGUGGUGCAUGGCCGUUCUUAGUUGGUGGAGCGAUUUGUCUGGUUAAUUCCGAUAACGAACGAGACUCUAGCCUACUAAAUAGACGAACGAUCACUGGAGUCGUUCGAUCUUCUUAGAGGGACAAGCGGCUUUUAGCCGCACGAGACAGAGCAAUAACAGGUCUGUGAUGCCCUUAGAUGUCCGGGGCCGCACGCGCGCUACACUGAAGGAAUCAGCGUGCGUUUACCCCUGUCCGGCAGGACUGGGUAACCCGAUCAACCUCCUUCGUGAUAGGGAUAGGGGCUUGUAAUUCUUGCCCUUGAACGAGGAAUUCCCAGUAAGCACGAGUCAUAAGCUCGUGUUGAUUACGUCCCUGCCCUUUGCACACACCGCCCGU